AGCAUGUUAGCUCAGGGGAAGAGCGCCGGGCUCAUAACCCGGAGGUACGUCUCACCGCAACCAAAUUCACCCAAAAACAUCCAACUAACAAUCUCUACAGGACCCUGGAUCGAAACCAGGACAUGCUA
rnacentral:tRNA from 1 species